GCCGGGCGUGGUGGCACACGCCUGUAAUCCCAGCUACUCGGGAGGCUGAGGCAGGAGAAUUGCUUGAGCCCGGGAGACGGAGGUUGCAGUGAGCAGAGAUCAUGCCACUGCACUCCAGCCUGGCCGACAGAGCGAGACUCUGUCUCAA
rnacentral:SRP_RNA from 1 species